CUUUUUUUGUUGUUUUUUUUAGAAAAA
rnacentral:sRNA from 1 species